UCUCCCAUCCAAGUACUAAACAGGCCCGACCCUGCUUAGCUUCCAAGAUCAGACUACAUCGGGCACAUUCAGGGUGGUAUGGCUGUAGAC
rnacentral:sRNA from 1 species